CUAUCAGCUUGUUGGUGGGGUAAUGGCCUACCAAGGCAAAGACGGGUAGCCGGUCUAAGAGGAUGGUCGGCCACACUGGGACUGAGACACUGCCCAGACUCCUACGGGAGGCUGCAGUCGAGAAUCUUUCGCAAUGCCCGAAAGGGUGACGAAGCGACGCCGCGUGAGCGAAGAAGGCCUUAGGGUUGUAAAGCUCUGUCGAGGGUUAUGAAAUAUAGAUAGGUUAAUACCUUAUCUAUUUGACAAAGGCCCAAAAGGAAGCCACGGCUAACUCUGUGCCAGCAGCCGCGGUAAUACAGAGGUGGCAAGCGUUGUUCGGAAUUAUUGGGCGUAAAGAGCACGUAGGUGGUUUUGUAAGUCAGGUGUGAAA
rnacentral:rRNA from 1 species